rnacentral:rRNA from 1 species
CCUACGGGUGGCAGCAGUGGGGAAUAUUGCACAAUGGGGGAAACCCUGAUGCAGCGACGCCGCGUGAGUGAAGAAGUAUUUCGGUACGUAAAGCUCUAUCAGCAGGGAAGAAAAUGACGGUACCUGACUAAGAAGCCCCGGCUAACUACGUGCCAGCAGCCGCGGUAAUACGUAGGGGGCAAGCGUUAUCCGGAUUUACUGGGUGUAAAGGGAGCGUAGACGGCCGCGCAAGUCUGGAGUGAAAUCCCAGGGCUUAACCAUGGGACUGCAUUGGAAACUGUGCAGCUGGAGGGCAGGAGAGGUAAGCGGAAUUCCUAGUGUAGCGGUGAAAUGCGUAGAUAUUAGGAGGAACACCAGUGGCGAAGGCGGCUUACUGGACGGUAACUGACGUUGAGGCUCGAAAGCGUGGGGAGCAAACAGGAUUAGAUACCCGGGUAGUC